rnacentral:rRNA from 1 species
GUACACACCGCCCGUCACACCAUGAGAGCCGACUCAACCAGAAGUCGCUGAUGUCAACCGUAAGGGGACAGGCGCCGAAGGUGGGGUUGGUGAUUGGGGUGAAGUCGUAACAAGGUAGCCGUAGGUGAACCUGCAGAAGGAUCR